rnacentral:ncRNA from 1 species
GGACCUGAUAUCAGGCAAGAUUACCCGCUGAACUUAAGCAUAUUAACAAGCGGAGGAAAAGAAACUAACAAGGAUUCCCCUAGUAACGGCGAGUGAAGCGGGAAGAGCUCAAGCUUAAAAUCUCCGUGCAAGUUUUGUGCGGCGAAUUGUAGUCUAUAGAAGCGUGGUCAGCAUGGGCACUUGGGGCAAGUUCCUUGGAAGAGGACAGCAUGGAGGGUGAUACUCCCGUUCAUUUCUGAGUUGCUCGUGCGUACGACCCGUUUUCUUUGAGUCGCGUUGUUUGGGAAUGCAGCGCAAAGUAGGUGGUAAAUUCCAUCUAAAGCUAAAUAUUGGUGCGAGACCGAUAGCGAACAAGUACCGUGAGGGAAAGAUGAAAAGAACUUUGAAAAGAGAGUUAAAGAGUACCUGAAACUGCUGAAAGGGAACCGAAUCGUUUCCAGUGUCUAUAAUCCGUGGUAUAUUUCAUUGGCGAGUGUGUGCGUGCGUGUGCUGUGGCAGCGGCUUUUUUGGCUGCGCUCGGCGUGUGUGCUGUGUGUGCUUGCUGGUGCUCUGUGCUGCGGUGGGACGUCAAGGUCAGUUCGUAUGCUGCGGGAAAUGGCUGCCGAGGAGGUAGGGCUUACGCUUGCGUUUGUCUGUUAUAUCUUGGUGGACGAGUAGUCGCGGUUGGGACUGAGGUGCCUACAACGUGCUUUUGAGUGGGUUUGUGUCUCCGUGUGCGCCGUGUGCGGAUAGCUUGCUAUGCGUGUGUGGUUGUGUGUGGAUUGAUGCGAG